AUCACUGAGAUACUGACAUUUAUUGAAUGCAUAAUUGUAAGGAAUUUUAAAAAAGUACAAGAGUCCGCCUUAUCUGUAGUUUCGCUUCCGCACUUUCAGUUACCAUGGUCUGCAAGCCAAUGAUCCUUUCUGACGAAUCAGCAGAAGGUCAGUAGUAGCCUAACAAUACGUCACGAUGGCUGCGUCAUCCACCUCACUUCAUCUCAUCACGUAGGCAUUUUAUGUCACAUCAUCACAAGAAAGAAGAUUAAAAUCUUUAGUUUUCAUGUGGGAAGAGGUCAUCAGCGGACAUGACCACUGAUUGACCUGUAAGCUGGAUCCAGACAACCAGAGGCAUCUCACCACCUACCUUCCCCUAUCCUUGGAAUGUGUGCUCAGCCUACCCAUUCCCAUAGUGGGAACCAUUUUGAAGGAUGCAGCCUUGAGAGAACAAUUUGUAGAUGAGAUUGUCUGGAUGGAAUGCAUUACUGAACCCAGGUGGAAAGUGAAUUUGCCAACCAACUUGAAUAAAGCAGAUGCCUCGAUUCCAAUUUGGUGGCUUCUGAUUGUUGGAGGAGUAAUGGAGCUAACAUGUAGAGGCAGAUAACACAGACUUCACACAGGGAGGCUCAGGGUGUGAAAACUUCAUGGUAAGUAGAAUAUAACUAAAUUAUUUGAUCUGCUAUUAUUUUUAGAACUUUCAUAUUUCAUAACCUUUCUUUAUUCCAUUUAUUUUCCCAGGAGAGAAAGCUCAGGCUCUUAAAUUCUGCAUAGUCAGAUUUCAGACUGGUCUUUAUAACCUUAAAAGCCCUUUCUCUGGAAGAGAAACAUAAUUAAACUGAAGACACAAAUUAGAUCCACCAGUCUGACAAGGGUUAUAGUGCACCCAGACCCCUCCCCAGGGCUGACCUAUCACUGGGUCUUCCUUUCCUCAGUCCUUUCCUCACUUCUUUGCAGUGUAUCUCCUGAGAGCACUCCCCAACCAUCCUUAUGCACACAAUUCUUCAUCUCAGAAUGUUUUCAAGAGAUCCAGUCUAAGACAGAAGUGGAUUAGUCCAGGGCAGUGCCUCCAAUCUUUCUUAAUUUCUCAAAGACCAGUAAAGGUCAAAACUUUUCUAAAGCACAUUUAGAAGGUAGAUGUCUUCUAGAGAAAAUUGGAGUAGGGACAAUUGGGUAAUUAUGGUGGAAGGAGAGACGAGGUAGAUAUUUACGAAAAAAUGUGGUCUAUAAUCAAGAGAAAAGAGAUAGGGCUUUUGAUGUCAAAAGACAUGCCAUGUUGAUGUGUCAGUUGCCCUGUUAACAGAGCUUGAGAACACUGACAUUUGAGGCCAAACCUACUUCGUUCUCGUUCCUGAGGUAUCAGUGGAUGUUGCUAGAGGGACAUGUGGAGGGGUUCAGUGUGCAGAGGCAUCACUCAAGGGAGAAAGCAAAGUUAAGUGAACAGCUUCCUUAUCUGUGAAAAAUGAUGAAGUAUUUGAGAUGUAGUGGAUAUGUCUGGGCAGUGUUGCCAGAGAUACUAGGGUAGCAAGAUUGAAGGCACUGGCUUUAGAAUUUUAGGUUCAAAUCCUGGCUCUGUCCCUUACUAGCUGUUGUCUAUGGUUAAGUUACUUGACUUCUUUGAGACCAGAAAUAAUGGAGAUAAUGUCAAAGAACAGUUGUGAGAAUUAAACAAUAUACAUAAUACAUUUAAUACAGUGAAUAAUAGCAAGUAUUAAGUACAUAGGAAUUUAUACAAUGCAGUAAUGUUUUUUGAAUACCCAUGUGAUAGCUUGCAUGGAAUACUUCAGCCUUUGCAGUGGAUAAAUAGCUCUUUCCUUUGUUCUAAGACAUUGAAGAAGAUAUUAAGGAUAUUAAGGAGAGUUUCUUCAAUGAAGCUGAAUUAAAAAUACAUAUCUACUCUAGAGUGUAAAUUAUCCUCUUCAUUUCUCAUAGUUUUGUUGAAUCAUUACUUAGGCAUAUAAAUAUUUACCUGCGAAUUGAUAAACAUAAUUUAUGCAAUUCAGGAAAAUGUCAAAGUUCAUGGGAAGCUGUAAUUGUUAGACUGAAAAAGUCACUGGGGAUUUGCUGUAUUUUAAUAUCAUCUGCUAAUUUCUUUAUCUAAAUUUUAAAAUAGUGUAUUUAGCAUUCUCAAUGUCAGUUUGAAAAAGGCCCUUUCAAACUAAAGCAGCAAAACUUAUGGCUUCUAUUAAGCAUGAUAAUUAGGGACGUGAGUGAGAACCACAGAAUUUUAAAGCUAGAAGUGACAUCAGAGACUCCGUGCCUCAACCCCUUUUAUGGAAAUAAAAGAUAAGCUGGUGAAGGGACUUGCCAGAGUCCUACAGCUUGUUAAUGAAAAGACUAAUAAUAGCCAUUACCUCCAGACCUAAAGUCCAGAACACUUGCCAUUGCACCAAACAACCCAUUCAGUCAGUUCCUGAAAAGACACAGACAUGAUGAGCUGGUGGUGGCUUGAGAUCGUCUGUGUACUGGAUUCUCCAUUGAUCAGCUCAGUAAACUACACCCAUGCACCUACCCACACUCCACACACAAUUUAUGUUCAUAACAACUUAAAAGAGAAAUAUGAAUCCAACGUGAAAGAGUAUAGUUUGGAAAUGGAAUCAAUGCAAAUUGUCUUUGAAGUUUACAUAAACACUUCGCUCUUUGACAGUAAUAAAGUAGUGCCAGGUUUCUGGAACUAGAAGAAUAUUUUUGCCUGAAGAAAAAAGAAUUGGAUUUACUAUGAGAAAGUUAAUGAUUAUGAAACAUGUAUUUGUUUAUAUUCAAAAGUUGUCAACAUGAAGUAUAAUGACUAAAAACUAACAUUAACAAAAUGGAAAGGAGUCUAAAAUAUACAUCUUAGCCCAAAAUGUGUACCAAAGUUGUUGUAGAACCAAAUGUCUCCAUUUUUGUUUUCAAAUGUCCUGCCAGGACUUUGACUGACAGAUAUACAUCUAAUUUGUAUAUGUACCUCAAUAUAUUAUCAUUAAAUAUCUUAAAGGCUCCAGUGGCUUCCUGUGUGUUUGUAGUGUUUCCCACAACAAACUGUAGCAGAUACAAAUACAUAUAUAACCACUUGCCAUAUCCAGGAGGCACUUUCCAUAUAUCUGUCCUCUAUUGUAUUUAUUGCAGCAAAACUUAAAAAAUACAUCUAAUUUUAUUCCUUCUGUUUUACCUUUUCAUGGUAAUUUCUCUGACCACCUACAGUUAUUAUUCAGUCUCCAGCAAUAGCUUUAACUUUUUGAGUCAUGACUCCUUUGUGAAUCAGAUGAAAAUAGAAUUUUUCUCCCUAGAACAGUAUAUAAAACACAUAUAUAACAAAUUUGCAUAUGAUUUAUGUUACUAAACUGGAAAUUGAUUUUGAUCAUAGAAUAUUUUAUUUAUGGAAAAGAUAAUGUAAAAUCUAAUAGUGAUAUUCUGGAAAUAAUUGAAACAAGUCUAAUUUGUACAACCCCCCUCCCCCCCAAAAAAACCUCCCAAAGUAAAUAUUAACUCUGCCCAAAUUAAGGUUUCUGAUGUUAAACUUGAAAAAGAGGUUGUCAUAGCAACGUGAACAUUUAUCUUGGGCACUAAGCUGAUUUUGACAUUUUAAUUUUGAUGGCAGCUAGUGCUAAAAAACUAUAACUCAAAGGUAGAUUGUUGUCAAAGAAUAUCAGAAUUUCCCAAGACUCUUUUUGGUUGAAUUUAUAUAGCAUCAUUUCCUUUGUCCUCAAAUCAAUAAGUUUACCUUUGCAAAGCUUGCAUUAUUGAUUUCCUCUAUGCCAGAAAAGAAAAGACUGUGAGUCCACAUUUAAGUUUUAAAGUUGUCUAAAUAGAAGGAAUCUGUGAGAGAAGUCUCCAGUAUUUCCAAUUAUUUUCAGAUUUCUUUCUGCAGGGACACUGAGAAGGCCAUGUAACUCUUGACUAUAACCUAUAAAAGCACCUUCCCUAGCACUGCAAGGUUGGCAUGGAUGUCUGUGUGCAAUUCUGGCUUUCCUACUGGAGCUUGGACAUAGUUUGAUCAACUAGUAUGCUUUUGGCUGCAAAUAAAAAAGCCCAAUUCAAGAAAAAAUUAUACAGUAAAAAAGUUAAUUAUCUUACAUAACAGAAAGUCCAGAAGUAGAAUUAGUUUUGGUCAGGUUGGUGAUGCAAUAAUUCAAUGGUGACCAUCAAGGAUCCAUGUUCUAUAUUUCUGCUCUGUUAUCCUCAGUGUGAGAGUGUUGAAUUUAGACUUGCUAUUCUUAUGGUUAUACAAUACCAACACUAUCUGAAUCAACAUACAUUCUUGCUCACCUCCUAAAUGAGAGAAAACCCUUUCCCCCAACUAUAAUUGGACAAAUGUAGACCAGUGUCUUCUUUACUUACAGCAGGAGCCAGAGCCAUGUCAUGUGCUGACUGCUUUCUGUGAAGCAGGAAUAACUUGACAGUGAGCCCUUACAGGAACCAACUACAGAAGGAGUGGCUGUUGUAUGAAACCUAAGUGAAAAGGUACCAAAUUUAUAUUAAUGCAUAAAUAGAUAGACUGGUGAAACAGAAUAGAAACAUCCAAGUAGACCCAAAUAUAUAUGGAAAUUUAGAUUAAGAUAAAAGUGGCAUCUACAACCACUGGGAAAAUGAUGGACAUGUAAAUAAAUGGUGUUGUGAUAACUGGAUAGCAAUUUGAAAAAAGAUAUAAUUAGAUCUGUAUCAGAAUUCCAAAUUAAUCUGUUUUAAAUAUAAAAAUGGAACCAUCCAAGAACAGAAGAAAAUAUAGGUGAGUUCCUUUAUAACCCAGGGGAAAGCCUUGAUAAUGUUGAUUAAAAAUACAAAUGCAAUGAAAACAAUAUUAAUAAACUUGACUACAUGUAAAAAGUUACAUUGCAAAACACAGACAUACACAAACAUACAGGGAAAAUUUUUUUUGUAGCAUGUAUUGAAAAUAAAGGUCUAAUCUCCCUAAUAUAAAAAAAAACCUCUUAAAAUUGAGUGAAAAAUACCCAAACCCAAUAUAAAAAAAUGGGCAAAAGACAUGAAAUGACAGUUUACAGAAAGGAUAGGCAGAUGACCUUUAAACAUAUGAAAACGUGUUCAAAUUCACUCACAAUAAAAGAAAUGAAAAGAAGUUAUACUGAAAUAUCAUUUGUCACCUGGUAGAUUGGCAAAAAUUUAAAAAUUUGGCAAUAUACUUUAUUAGGCAAGGUUGAGAGAAAACAUCACUCUCCCACACUGCUGAUUUAUAUUUAUAACAUUUCUAAGGAUGUUUAAGCCUUGUUUUAGUAAUUUACUUCUAUGAAUUUACCUCUGAAAGUUAAAAAAGCACAAUGUUAAUUAUAGCAAUAUUAUUUUAAAGGUAAAAUAUUAGGGGUGCCUGAGUGGCUCAGUCAGUUAAGCAUCCUACUCUUGAUUUCAGCUCAGGUCGUGAUCUCACAGUUUGUGGGUUGGAGCCCAGUGUUGACUCUGUAGGGUGGAGACCAGCAUUGGGCUGUGUGCUGACAGUCUGCUUGGGAUUCUCUCUCUCUCUAGCUCUGUUUUUUCUCUGCGUCUCCCCUGCUCCUCCAGUCUCACUCUCUCUCUCUCUCUCUCUCUCUCUCUCUCUCUCUCUCUCUUUCUCUCUCAAAAUAAAUAAACUUAGAGAAACGUAAAAUAUUAGAAACAACUUUAAAGCCAUUUCAUAUGCUACAGGAUGAAUAACCUAUGGUUCAUCCACAAAAUGACUAUGUAGUAAUGGAAAAAAGAAUCAAGAGGAAGAUCUGUAUAAACUUAUAUGGAACUAUUUCCAAGAUUUACUGAUAAGCAAAAAAUAAAAGGUAUAAAAGAAUUGAUCUUAAAUGCUACUUUUUGUGUAAGACAAAUGGAAAUGUAUAUCUGUAGUUUGUGAAAACAAACACAAGAAAGGUAAACCAGAAACAACUAUAAAUUGUUACCAAAGGAGAGUGAGUGAGAAGGAAAUAAGGAGUAGGCAUACUUGCUUUCCUUCCUUCGUUCCUUCCUUCCUUCGUUCCUUCCUUCCUUCCUCCCUUCCUUAUAAAUAUUAUUUAUUU